GACGAACGCUGGCGGCGUGCUUAACACAUGCAAGUCGAACGGAAAGGCCCUGCUUGCAGGGUACUCGAGUGGCGAACGGGUGAGUAACACGUGGGUGAUCUGCCCUGCACUUCGGGAUAAGCCUGGGAAACUGGGUCUAAUACCGGAUAGGAGCCAUUUUUAGUGUGAUGGUUGGAAAGUUUUUUCGGUGUAGGAUGAGCUCGCGGCCUAUCAGCUUGUUGGUGGGGUAAUGGCCUACCAAAGCGGCGACGGGUAGCCGGCCUGAGAGGGUGGACGGCCACAUUGGGACUGAGAUACGGCCCAGACUCCUACGGGAGGCAGCAGUGGGGAAUAUUGCACAAUGGGCGCAAGCCUGAUGCAGCGACGCCGCGUGGGGGAUGACGGCCUUCGGGUUGUAAACUCCUUUCGCUAGGGACGAAGCUUUUUGUGACGGUACCUAGAUAAGAAGCACCGGCUAACUACGUG
rnacentral:rRNA from 1 species